GCACUUCCGCCCUCUUGCAAGCCCAGUUUUCCAACAGUCUCCGGUUUCUGCACCGACCAUCAGUCAGCCAAUCAGAGUCUGCAUAAGGCCCCGGCGGACGCUAAUUGGUACCCGCAGCCUGCACAGCAGCCCGGGUUCUGCGCCCCGGUUUGGACACCCUAGCUCCAGCUAGUAGAGGGUGCACGAGCCUGCAUUGCUGUGGCCUCUAGGGUACCUUGGGAUUGCCCCCAAGCGCUUUUUCCGAGCCAAGCAUCUUGCGUCCCUGGCAACCCAGCUCUCCCCGGGGUCACAGGCCAGAGCAAUCAACCCCAAGUUCCGAUGGGCCCCACAGGGGGCGCGGCGAGGCCCGGGCGCUUCUUCGGCGUCUACCUGCUCUACUGCCUGAACCCUCGGCACCGGGGCCGCGUCUACGUAGGGUUCACGGUCAACCCUGCUCGUCGGGUGCAGCAGCACAACGGAGGCCGCAGAAAAGGCGGGGCCUGGCGGACCAGUGGACGCGGGCCCUGGGAGAUGGUGCUCAUCGUACACGGCUUCCCCUCCGCAGUGGCCGCCCUUCGGUUCGAGUGGGCCUGGCAGCAUCCGCAGGCCUCGCGCCGCUUGGCGCACGUGGGUCCGCGCCUAAGCGGUGAGGCAACCUUCGCCUUUCACCUGCGCGUGCUGGCGCACAUGCUGCGCGCGCCGCCCUGGGCGCGACUCCCACUCACCUUGCGCUGGCUGCGCGCCGACUUCCGCCAGGAACUCUGCCCGCCGCCGCCGCCUCACGUGCCGCUGGCCUUUGGGCCUCCGCCGCCCCGGGCCUCAGCCCCGAGGCGCCGGGCGGCUGACACCGAGUCCGAGCUGGAGCAUGACGCCGAGACCCGCUGCACCCUGUGCGCGCGUGUGCUCCAGGAUGAAGAAGACCCCCUGUGUUGCCCCCACCCUGGCUGCUCCCUGAGGGCCCAUGUGAUCUGCCUGGCAGAGGAGUUCCUGCAGGAGGAGCCAGGGCAGCUUCUGCCCCUAGAGGGCCAAUGCCCUGGCUGCAAGAACUCACUGCUGUGGGGAGACCUGAUCUGGCUGUGCCGGAUGGGCACCGAGGAGGAAGAGGAGGACUCGGAAUUAGAAGAGGAACACUGGACCGACAUGCUGGAGAUCUGAUCCUCAGCGUCCCCAACCUCUGCCCACUCCUUUUCUGUGCCACCCCCUGUGGGUCUGGGCAGUUUUUACUUGAGUACAAUAAAAAGUCUGAGUUAAGAGCCUUGUUCAAACCCACA